AUUGAACGCUGGCGGCAGGCCUAACACAUGCAAGUCGAGCGAGCGGCGGACGGGUGAGUAAUGUCUGGGAAACUGCCUGAUGGAGGGGGAUAACUACUGGAAACGGUAGCUAAUACCGCAUACCAUCAGAUGUGCCCAGAUGGGAUUAGCUAGUGGGUGGGGUAACGGCUCACCUAGGCGACGAUCCCUAGCUGGUCUGAGAGGAUGAACAGCCACACUGGGACUGAGACACGGACCAGACUCCUACGGGAGGCAGCAGUGGGGAAUAUUGCACAAUGGGCGAAAGCCUGAUGCAGCCAUGCCGCGUGUGUGAAGAAGGCCUUCGGGUUGUAAAGCACUUUCAGCAGAGAAGCGUUAACCGCAGAAUAAGCACCGGCUAACUCCGUGCCAGCAGCCGCGGUAAUAC
rnacentral:rRNA from 1 species